rnacentral:tRNA from 2 species
GCCCAUAUGGCGCAAUGGUAGCGCGUCGGUUUUCGGUACCGAAGGUUGUGUGUUCGAGUCAUGCUGUGGGCU